rnacentral:rRNA from 1 species
AUUGAACGCUGGCGGCAGGCCUAACACAUGCAAGUCGAGCGAGCGGCGGACGGGUGAGUAAUGUCUGGGGAUCUGCCCGAUAGAGGGGGAUAACUACUGGAAACGGUGGCUAAUACCGCAUACUAUCGGAUGACCCCAUAUGGGAUUAGCUAGUAGGUGGGGUAAAGGCUCACCAAGGCGCCGAUCUCUAGCUGGUCUGAGAGGAUGAUCAGCCACACUGGGACUGAGACACGGCCCAGACUCCUACGGGAGGCAGCAGUGGGGAAUAUUGCACAAUGGGCGCAAGCCUGAUGCAGCCAUGCCGCGUGUAUGAAGAAGGCCUUAGGGUUGUAAAGUACUUUCAGCGGGGAGGCGUUACCCGCAGAAGAAGCACCGGCUAACUCCGUGCCAGCAGCCGCGGUAAUAC